CCCUUAGAUGUUCUGGGCCGCACGCGCGCUACACUGACGAAUGCAACGAGCUUAUAACCUUGGCCGAAAGGUCUGGGUAAUCUUUGAACGCUGGUCGUGAUGGGGAUAGACUUUUGCAAUUUUUGGUCUUCAACGAGGAAUUCCUAGUAAACGCAAGUCAUCAACUUGCAUUGAUUACGUCCCUGCCCUUUGUACACACCGCCCGUCGCACCUACCGAUUGAAUGGUCCGGUGAAGCCUCCGGAUUGGCGCGCACCUCGGUGCCGCCGAGAAGUUGGCUAAACCUUACCAUUUAGAGGAAGGUGAAGUCGUAACA
rnacentral:rRNA from 1 species